CUUAUUAUUCAUUUGCCCAGGCCCAGUAACAUGCGACAGUGCUAUCUCAUUUACUCCGAUACAAUUAGACAGUGUGCGCGAUAUAGGUAUUAACAGCCUCUUAAGACUGCGUCGACCGUCUAGGAAUAUUACGCAAAACUCUACGUAGGGGGCGUCACUAGCACAAUCACAGGGCCUACCGCGAAACACGAAAAUCGAAAGUUCGGUUUCUGCCUCUAUCUUAUUCGAUAGAUAAAGAGGCAGAUAACGAAAUUUCGAUUUUCGUGUUUUGCGGUAGGCCACCUGUAAACAAACCGCCUUGAUGCAUCAAUGUCAUAGUGAAAACUUGUCAAAAAACUAUUUAAGGCCUAGUAUGUAUAAGUUACCCUAUGGUUUACUAUGUGCACUAGUGCUGCACUCUGGCGACAGAACAUUGCAGUAAUACUCCCUAUUAUUUUAACUAGUAGGUACCUAACAAAAGUUUGGUUUUCGCCUGAAAAAGGCACAAUACAUCACCUGUUAAUAAUAAAUAGUUAAUUAUUAAUACUAUCAUUCAUUCAACUUGUAUAAAAAAAACAUAUUCAAUGAAGAUUUGUGUCGUUUUUUUCGCUUAAUUUCGAUAAAAUUUGGUGCAAUAGAUAGAGUUCCCUAUCCUGGUACAAUAUAAGCGUAGACGGAAUAGUCCCUAUGACGGAAUUAGCCACAUUGACCUUGAGUAGGUUAAAUUUAGGAACGAAAAACUACAUUCUUUUGUCCAAAAUUGGGAUUUCGUGUUUAUUUUGUCCAGAAAGGAGCUUUUCAUAAUGACCAAUUGUUAUUGAAAUCCGAGGAAAAAAAAAGAUUCUGAGAUUCUGGCUCUUUUUCUUUUUUUCGCAACUUUUCUUGAAACAUCCGUUUUAUUUCAAUUACUAACAUAAUCAAAAUAAUAGUAUGAAUUGCAUACAAAUAUAGUCCUUAAGCUAAAAUUAAAUAUGAUGCUAUCUAAACUAUCCACGGUGGCUAAAAAUAACUGCAUUCCCGUUACCAGGGAGGUUUUGGGAUUAUACUGAGCAACUUUUACUAUGGGACCAACCCAGAAAUCGCGAAAAAAAAUUUACCCUCCCAUAGAAAAUGGACCAGCCAAAAUGUAUGAAACAGC